rnacentral:rRNA from 1 species
CAGUCGAGCGAUGAAGCACCUUCGGGUGUGAAUUAGCGGCGAACGGGUGAGGAACACGUGAGAAAUCUGCCUUCAACACUGGGAUAACUCCGGGAAACCGGGGCUAAUACCGGAUAUGAAACCUGCGGGCAUCCGCGGGUUUGGAAAGUUUUUCGGUUGAAGAUGAUCUCGCGGCCUAUCAGCUUGUUGGUGAGGUAAUGGCUCACCAAGGCGACGACGGGUAGCCGGCCUGAGAGGGCGACCGGCCACACUGGGACUGAGACACGGCCCAGACUCCUACGGGAGGCAGCAGUGGGGAAUAUUGGGCAAUGGAGGAAACUCUGACCCAGCGACGCCGCGUGCGGGAUGAAGGCCUUCGGGUUGUAAACCGCUUUCAGCAGGGAAGAAGCGAAAGUGACGGUACCUGCAGAAGAAGCACCGGCUAACUAUGUGCCAGCAGCCGCGGUAAUACAUAGGGUGCAAGCGUUGUCCGGAAUUAUUGGGCGUAAAGAGCUCGUAGGUGGUUCGUCACGUCGGAUGUGAAACUCUGGGGCUUAACCCCAGACCUGCAUUCGAUACGGGCGAGCUUGAGUAUGGUAGGGGAGUCUGGAAUUCCUGGUGUAGCGGUGGAAUGCGCAGAUAUCAGGAGGAACACCAAUGGCGAAGGCAGGACUCUGGGCCAUUACUGACACUGAGGAGCGAAAGCGUGGGGGAGCGAACAGGAUUAGAUACCCUGGUAGUCCACGCCGUAAACGGUGGGCACUAGUUGUGGGGACCUUCCACGGUCUCUGCGACGCAGCUAACGCAUUAAGUGCCCCGCCUGGGGAGUACGAUCGCAAGAUUAAAACUCAAAGGAAUUGACGG